rnacentral:rRNA from 1 species
GGUUGAUCCUGCCAGACCUGACUGCUAUCGGAUUGAUACUAAGCCAUGCGAGUCUUUGUAGCAAUACAAGGCAGACGGCUCAGUAACACGUAGUCAAUCUAACCUAUGGACGAGGAUAACCUCGGGAAACUGAGAAUAAUACUCGAUAGACCAUAAUGCCUGGAACGGUUUAUGGUUCAAAUGAAUUUCGCCAUAGGGUGGGACUGCGGUCUAUCAGCUUGUUGGUGAGGUAAUGGCCCACCAAGGCUAUAACAGAUACGGGCUCUGAGAGGAGAAGCCCGGAGAUGGGUACUGAGACACGGACCCAGGCCCUAUGGGGCGCAGCAGGCGAGAAAACUUUGCAAUGUGCGAAAGCACGACAAGGUUAAUCCGAGUGGUUCCUGCUAAAGGAACCUUUUGUUAGUCAUAAUACCACUGAUGAAUAAGGGGUGGGCAAGUUCUGGUGUCAGCCGCCGCGGUAAAACCAGCACCUCAAGUGGUCAGGAGGAUUAUUGGGCCUAAAGCAUCCGUAGCCUGCUCUGUAAGUUUUCGGUUAAAUCUAUAUGCUCAACAUAUGGGCUGCCGGGAAUACUGCAAAGCUAGGAAGUGGGAGAGGUAGACGGUACUCCGUAGGAAGGGGUAAAAUCCUUUGAUCUAUGGAUGACCACCAGUGGCGAAGGCGGUCUACCAGAACACGUUCGACGGUGAGGGAUGAAAGCUGGGGGAGCAAACCGGAUUAGAUACCCGGGUAGUCCCAGCUGUAAACUAUGCAAACUCGGUGAUGCAUUGGCUUGUGGCCAGUGCAGUGCCGCAGGGAAGCCGUUAAGUUUGCCGCCUGGGAAGUACGUACGCAAGUAUGAAACUUAAAGGAAUUGGCGGGGGAGCACCACAAGGGGUGAAGCCUGCGGUUCAAUUGGAGUCAACGCCGGA